GCCAAUGUGACAGAGUGAUUUGAGCGUUGGACUAUGACUCUGGAGACCAGGGUUCGAUUCCCAGCUUGGCCA